GGAGGGCUCGCAUAAUGGUAUUGCAGCUGUCUUGAAAACAGCCGGGUUUGCGCCUGUGGGGGUUCGAAUCCCUCGCCCUCCG
rnacentral:tRNA from 1 species